rnacentral:rRNA from 1 species
UGAGGAAUAUUGGUCAAUGGGCGAAAGCCUGAACCAGCCAUGCCGCGUGAAGGAAUAAGGCCCUAUGGGUCGUAAACUUCUUUUGUAUCGGAGCAAUAAGGGCCACGAGUGGUCCGAUGAGAUUACGAUACGAAUAAGCAUCGGCUAACUCCGUGCCAGCAGCCGCGGUAAUACGGAGGAUGCGAGCGUUAUCCGGAUUUAUUGGGUUUAAAGGUGCGUAGGUGGUUUGUUAAGUUUGUGGUGAAAGCGUGCGGCUCAACCGUACCAAGCCAUGAAAACUGGCGAACUUGAGUGCAACGAGGUAGGCGGAAUGUGAUGUGUAGCGGUGAAAUGCUUAGAUAUGUCACAGAACCCCGAUUGCGAAGGCAGCUUACCAGCAUGCAACUGACACUGAGGCACGAAAGCGUGGGUAUCAAACAGGAUUAGAUACCCUGGUAGU